rnacentral:RNase_P_RNA from 1 species
CGAGUCGGUCAGGCGAUCGCUCUUCGCCGCUUCUGGCUGCGAAGGGAGGAAAGUCCGGGCUCCACAGGGCAGGGUGCCAGGUAACGCCUGGGGGGCGAGAGCCCACGGAAAGUGCAACAGAAAGGAAACCGCCGCCACAGCGCUUGCUUGCAGGCCUCUGGCGGUAAGGGUGAAAAGGUGCGGUAAGAGCGCACCGCGCGGCUGGUAACAGGCGCGGCGAUGGUAAACCCCACCCGGAGCAAGACCAAAUAGGAACCCGUCAGCCGUGGCCCGCGGUGGGUUCGGGUAGGUCGCUUCAGGCAGCUGGCGACAGCUGUCGCAGAUGAAUGGUCGUCCACGACAGAACCCGGCUUAUCGACCGACUCGACCU